GAGGCAGCAGCUGAGGAAUAUUGCGCAAUGGGGGCAACCCUGACGCAGCAACGCCGCGUUGAGUGAGGAAGGUUUUCGGAUCGUAAAGCUCUGUCGAGUGGGAAGAAAUGUAUCAUGGCUAAUAUCCAUGGUAUUUGACGGUACCGCUAAAGGAAGCACCGGCUAACUCCGUGCCAGCAGCCGCGGUAAUACGGGGGGUGCAAGCGUUGUUCGGAAUCAUUGGGCGUAAAGGGCGUGUAGGCGGCUUGGUAAGUCAGAUGUGAAAGCCCUGGGCUUAACCCAGGAAGUGCAUUUGAAACUGUCAGGCUUGAGUAGGGAAGAGGAAGGUGGAAUUCCUGGUGUAGAGGUGAAAUUCGUAGAUAUCAGGAGGAACACCGGUGGCGAAGGCGACCUUCUGGUCCUAUACUGACGCUGAGACGCGAAAGCAUGGGUGGCAAACAGGAUUAGAUACCCUGGUAGUCCAUGCCGUAAACGAUGUUCACUAGGUGUUGGGGGUAUUGACCCUCUCAGUGCCGAAGCUAACGCAUUAAGUGAACCGCCUGGGGA
rnacentral:rRNA from 1 species